UAAGGGAUUGGAGUUGAAAUGGAGAGAGGAAAUCAAGCUCAUGCAAAACGUCAAUGGUGGAUUUUUUUCAUCUUCAUUCACGGCAUGGUUGAGCUAAGUGAGGAAGAUGAGGUUUGAGUGGGAGAAAUCUGCCCACUUAUGAUUAUAUUUAAUCCAUUUAAUGUUCUUAGUGGUCCACUAAAAAAAAUUAUAUCAUAUAAUAAG
rnacentral:misc_RNA from 1 species